rnacentral:rRNA from 1 species
CGCGUAGGCGGCCUGGUAAGUCAAAGGUGAAAUCCCUCGGCUCAACUGAGGAACUGCCUUUGAAACUGCCAGGCUCGAGGCCGGGAGGGGGUGGCGGAAUUCCCAGUGUAGCGGUGAAAUGCGUAGAUAUUGGGAGGAACACCAGUGGCGAAGGCGGCCACCUGGACCGGUUCUGACGCUGAUGCGCGAAAGCGUGGGUAGCAAACAGGAUUAGAUACCCUGGUAGUCCACGCUGUAAACGAUGGGUGCUCGGUGUCGCGGGUAUCGACCCCUGCGGUGCCUUAGCUAACGCGUUAAGCACCCCGCCUGGGGAGUACGGUCGCAAGGCUGAA